CUGGUUGGUUUCUUGACUUGCUCUUGAGCCAAGUCCAUUCUCUUUUCACAGCCAUGCCUCUUUCCAGAUGAGUCCAGAAGCUGAGUAGUGGCUCAAAAUAUAUCUGACUUGAAGUGAGGAGACCUGAGUGGGAUCCCUAGGGAACCUUGACAUACAUCUCAGAGUUGCUAUAAUAUAUUCACAUCAAAAUGGGGGCCAUUUCACCAAUCUCACAGAGCUUUUGUGAGUGCUAAAUAAUGUAUACGAAAGACUUGGACACACUGAGGGCCUGUAGGAAGUGUUGUGCUGAGCUACUGUUUCCAGUGUCAAAGCAGAAUAAUAAAAUUCCUUUCUGCUUGCUAUACUGGAUGGUUCAAGCCACAAAAGAAAAACAAUAGGUAAAUCCAUCCAGAUCCAUGUAACUCUCACCUAGCAGAGAAUUUUAAGACUAUUAUUUUCUUGAAAGCCAGACUCCCCUUUUUCUUUUUUCAACACAUUGAAAAAUAUGACGUAGAAAACCAGAAAGCAGACACCUUCAUUUAGAUGCUUCACGGCAGUGGCUAAUGUUUAGUUCCUGAUUCUUACAUCUUCCCUGGUUCUGAAUCACAUUUCAUAGGUCCAUGUAUGGUGAUUGCAUGUCCUUUAUUUAAGAGGAGAAUCUUAAAAAUCAAGGAUGGAGAAUCUGCAAUCUUAGACUUGAUUUUAUCUUGCCCGUGGCGUGAUGGUGCUUUGGCUACCUCCACCAAUAACCAGAAAAUCAUUUCUCCUUGUGGCGAGUUGCUGCUGUGACUGUCUCAUUCAGAAGAAAGCUUCUCAAGAAACAGAUAUUAGAGCUGCAAACAACAUUGAAUCAGCUAAUGAUUGUGGCAAAAUAUGUCCCUCAUUCCACAGCCCCAAGGAAUGGGAGAAGCAAUAAGAGGAUAUUUUUGACUAAGGUUCCUCUUAUUACCUACCUAUCUUCCCAUAUUUCCCAUGUUUCUCCAAGUAUUUCUGACAUCUUAAAGUUUUCCAUCUCCAGUUCAAGUCCCGUCCUAAUCCUGUAUCUCUCAUAACAGAGUACAUUGUAGAUAUAAAUCAUUUUAGUCAUUAGACUCACACAAUCUUAGAGGAAAAAUCAUUAUAAUCAUUUACUCUGACCCUCUCCUUUUCAGAUGAAGAAAGGAUGUCAGAACUAAAAUUUAUUUUAUUUUGUUUCAUUUUUAUUUUUUGAGAUAGGAUCUGGCUCUGUUGACCAGGUUGUAAGUGCAGUGGCACGAUCAUGGCUCACUGCAACCUCCGCCUCCCCGGCUCAAGCCAUCCUCUCACCUCAGCCUCCCAAGUUGCUGGGACUACAGGCAUCACCAUGCCUGGCUAAUUUUUGUAUUUUUUGUAGAGAUGGGGUUUCACCAUGUUGCCCAGGCUGGUCUUGAACUCCUGAGCUCAAGCGAUCCACCCGCCUCAGCCUCCCAAAGUUCUAGGAUUACAGGUGUGAGCCACCACGCCUGGCCCAGAACCAAAAUUAAAAUCAGGUUCUGGGACCUCGAGUCCAAAGCGUUUCAAAUUUGCUGUAUUUAUGAAGUAAAUGUUGAAGUUACCCAUAGUUAGUUUUAAAUUAGGUGAGCUAAACAUUUCCUGUUUGUCUAGGGAAGAAAAGAAAAGACAGAAAGGCUUCUCUGCCUACCCUGUGGCAUCAUGCCUCAUCUAGGACAGUGUAUCCAGCCUCCCACAAUUCAUGUCCACUCCAGCAGUUGGACCCUUUUAUUGAUGGGCUAUAUCUACACCUGAUUAAAAAGUGGAGAAAUUCAACCAAGUGACUGAUAGUCCUGAGUACCCUUUUUUCUGUCUAACUUAACAAAAUCUAAACCUACUGUCUUCACUUUCCAGGCAAGAAAUGUCUGUUUAUGAUUCCUGCCCUUCAGUGACUGGUAAUGAAUAACCAUAUGUGGAAAUCAAAGUCUAUAUUGCAGUGUUUUGACAAGCAUCUUUGUCCAAUAUCUUCUUCUCAUAGGAUAUUAGAUUUUAUUUGAAUUCUCAUGCCAAUUUUUUGGCCUCUGUUAGAGUAUUGUAUAUUUAAGAAAGGCAUUAUUUUAAAAUUAUGGUUUUUAUUAAAAAUUACUUAGGUUUUUUCUGUAUUUGCUAUUUUUUUGCAGUAAAUUGUGAUAUUUUCCUAUUCUUAUUAUAGGAAGACAAAUUCACUUUGGGAAGGUAAAUGUUACAUUUUAAUAAAAGUCAGCUUACAGUUUAGAUGGGGAUAGUGAACCUAAAAGGGGAACAAACAGUUGUAAACUUUGACAUUUCUCAUUCUUCUUAACUGCAGCAUAAGAUUUACCUUUAUUUUUUAAUAUUGGAGAACUUGCCAUGUAAAUCCUAACAUGUGGAUGAACUAAAUACCUGGGGAGUUCAUCAUCUCUCACAAACUAAAUCCAGAGAAAAAACUUCCUGACACAAGAAAAAACUGCAGUUAAAUGGAAAACAAAUAAAGCAAAUGAAAAUUGGAAUGUGGAGCAUUUUGCAUGCCAGAUAAGAAAGGGCAUGUGACAAAGGAGAGCCAUUUCUUCCAUUUGAGAUUGGAGGGGGAAGAGUCCAAGGCUAGAAUCAUGUGGCUGACCAGGCUCCUGGGACUUCCACAUCUGCACAAUGGAUCAUGCAAAGAACUAAUCUAGUGGAGAUGUGGAGAACCUUUGUGUGUAGCUCAGGGAUUGUAAACGCACCAAUCAGCACCCUGUCAAAACAGACCACUCAGCUCUACCAAUCAGCAGGAUAUGGGUGGGGCCAGAUAAGAGAAUAAAAGCAGGCUGCCGGAGCCAACAGUGGCAACCUGUUUGGGGCCCCUUCCACGUUGUGGAAGCUUUGUUCUUUCGAUCUUUGCAAUAAAUCCUUCUGCUGCUCGCUCUUUGAGUCCACACUGCCUUUACGAGCUGUAACACUCACUGUGCAGGUCCGCAGCUUCACUCCUGAGCCAGCAAGACCACGAACCUACCAGAAGGAAGAAACUCCGAACACAUCCCAACAUCAGAAGGAACAAACUCCGGACGCGCCACCUUAAGAGCUGUAACACUCACCGCGAGGGUCCGCGGCUUCAUUCUUGAAGUCAGUGAGACCAAAAACCCACCAAUUCCAGACACACUAUCCUGGGGGUACGUAGAAAUGAGAACAAUUAGAGAAAACAGAAAGUGUAGCGAGACUAUUCUCCUUUGCUUCUCAUAUUGCAGCAUUAUAUGGCUUGAGCUUUUGGAGGAACUGUAAAUCCUUUUUUUAGGAAUUUGGUAGGCAUCUCCACAUAUUUGAAAAACUGACACAUACAAUGCAACAAUCAAAUGUUGAUUCGUUAACUCUUUGGUAAAUAGAGCAGCAGAGAACCUGGACUCCAGAGCCAGACUGAGUUUUACUCACAGCUCUGCCUCUUGCAAGAUGCGUGUGCUUGGAAAAUUUAAUUAACCUCUCUGUGACUCAGCAUCCUUCCCUGUAAAAUGUUCUUCUACCUCAUAGUCUUCUGUGCGUUACUUGGAAAGUUCUUAGACUAAUUGUAUCAUGUAGUAAGUGCUAAGUUAGUAUUAAUUUUUUUUUUUUUUUU
rnacentral:lncRNA from 10 species